rnacentral:rRNA from 1 species
AGUGAACGCUGGCGGUAGGCCUAACACAUGCAAGUCGAACGGCAGCACAGUAAGAGCUUGCUCUUACGGGUGGCGAGUGGCGGACGGGUGAGGAAUACAUCGGAAUCUACUUUUUCGUGGGGGAUAACGUAGGGAAACUUACGCUAAUACCGCAUACGACCUACGGGUGAAAGCAGGGGAUCUUCGGACCUUGCGCGAUUGAAUGAGCCGAUGUCGGAUUAGCUAGUUGGCGGGGUAAAGGCCCACCAAGGCGACGAUCCGUAGCUGGUCUGAGAGGAUGAUGGGCGAGGCUGGGACGGGGGAACGGCGCAGACGGGUCAGGGAUGCAGCAGUAGCGAAGCGUCGGGAAUGGACGGAAGGAUGAAGGAGUAAGGCCGUGUGAGGGAAGAAGGGUGUCGGCUCGUAAAGGUCUGUUGUUAGGGCAGAAACAGUACCGAACGAACUAGGUAGGUACCUUGACGGGACCGAAGUAGAAAGCCACGGCUAACUACGUG